rnacentral:rRNA from 1 species
AACGAACGCUGGCGGCAUGCCUAACACAUGCAAGUCGAACGAGACCUUCGGGUCUAGUGGCGCACGGGUGCGUAACGCGUGGGAACCUGCCCUUAGGUUCGGAAUAACUCCCCGAAAGGGGUGCUAAUACCGGAUAAUGUCUUCGGACCAAAGAUUUAUCGCCUUUGGAUGGGCCCGCGUUGGAUUAGCUAGUUGGUAGGGUAAAAGCCUACCAAGGCGACGACCCAUAGCUGGUCUGAGAGGAUGAUCAGCCACACUGGGACUGAGACACGGCCCAGACUCCUACGGGAGGCAGCAGUGGGGAAUAUUGGACAAUGGGCGAAAGCCUGAUCCAGCAAUGCCGCGUGAGUGAUGAAGGCCGUAGGGUUGUAAAGCUCUUUUACCCGGGAUGAUAAUGACAGUACCGGGAGAAUAAGCACCGGCUAACUCCGUG